UCUCCGUAGGUGAACCUGCGGAGGGAUCAUUACAGAGUUCAUGCCCUACGGGGUCGUCCCUUCACCCUAUGUUUUGAUUAAUUUAUUGCUUUGCACCUCCGUUCGGCACCGGCCCGACUACCGGCCCCGGCUAGUACGCGGCCUCCAGAGUACUCACAACCCUGAAUAUUAGUGUCGUCUGUGUACUAUAUACUAGUUAAAACUUUCAACAACGGAUCUCUUGGUUCUG
rnacentral:misc_RNA from 1 species